rnacentral:rRNA from 1 species
UACGAAGGGGGCGAGCGUUGUUCGGAUUUACUGGGCGUAAAGGGCGCGCAGGCGGCCGAUUUUGUCGAGUGUGAAAGCCCCGGGCUCAACCUGGGAACUGCGCUCGAGACGGAUUGGCUAGAGAUCGGGAGAGGAGAGUGGAAUUCCCAGUGUAGAGGUGAAAUUCGUAGAUAUUGGGAAGAACACCGGUGGCGAAGGCGGCUCUCUGGACCGAUACUGACGCUGAGGCGCGAAAGCGUGGGGAGCAAACAGG